AGCGAACGCUGGCGGCAGGCCUAACACAUGCAAGUCGAACGAACCCUUCGGGGUUAGUGGCGGACGGGUGAGUAACACGUGGGAACGUGCCUUUAGGUUCGGAAUAACUCAGGGAAACUUGUGCUAAUACCGAAUGUGCCCUUCGGGGGAAAGAUUUAUCGCCUUUAGAGCGGCCCGCGUCUGAUUAGCUAGUUGGUGAGGUAAUGGCUCACCAAGGCUACGAUCAGUAGAUGGUCUGAGAGGAUGACCAGCCACAUUGGGACUGAGACACGGCCCAAACUCCUACGGGAGGCAGCAGUGGUGAAUCUUGCGCAAUGGGCGAAAGCCUGACGCAGCCAUGCCGCGUGGAUGAUGAAGGUCUUAGGAUUGUAAAAUCCUUUCACCGGUGAAGAUAAUGACUGUAGCCGGAGAAGAAGCCCCGGCUAACUUCGUGCCAGCAGCCGCGGUAAUAC
rnacentral:rRNA from 1 species